GGGAGUGCGGGUGCUAAUACAUGCAAGUCGAGCGAAUGGAUUAAGAGCUUGCUCUUAUGAAGUUAGCGGCGGACGGGUGAGUAACACGUGGGUAACCUGCCCAUAAGACUGGGAUAACUCCGGGAAACCGGGGCUAAUACCGGAUAACAUUUUGAACCGCAUGGUUCGAAAUUGAAAGGCGGCUUCGGCUGUCACUUAUGGAUGGACCCGCGUCGCAUUAGCUAGUUGGUGAGGUAACGGCUCACCAAGGCAACGAUGCGUAGCCGACCUGAGAGGGUGAUCGGCCACACUGGGACUGAGACACGGCCCAGACUCCUACGGGAGGCAGCAGUAGGGAAUCUUCCGCAAUGGACGAAAGUCUGACGGAGCAACGCCGCGUGAGUGAUGAAGGCUUUCGGGUCGUAAAACUCUGUUGUUAGGGAAGAACAAGUGCUAGUUGAAUAAGCUGGCACCUUGACGGUACCUAACCAGAAAGCCACGGCUAACUACGUGCCAGCAGCCGCGGUAAUACGUAGGUGGCAAGCGUUAUCCGGAAUUAUUGGGCGUAAAGCGCGCGCAGGUGGUUUCUUAAGUCUGAUGUGAAAGCCCACGGCUCAACCGUGGAGGGUCAUUGGAAACUGGGAGACUUGAGUGCAGAAGAGGAAAGUGGAAUUCCAUGUGUAGCGGUGAAAUGCGUAGAGAUAUGGAGGAACACCAGUGGCGAAGGCGACUUUCUGGUCUGUAACUGACACUGAGGCGCGAAAGCGUGGGGAGCAAACAGGAUUAGAUACCUGGGUAGUCCAAUAA
rnacentral:rRNA from 1 species